ensembl:lncRNA
UUGCCGCUAUUAUUUAGAUGGCAAUAUGCGACAGGAAGUGCACAAUAAUUAGAUUAUGAUAAAUAAUUCUGACAAUACUAAUCUGAAUGUCAUCUGAUUGUUUCGGUUUGUGCAUUGAGUAAAAAACACCUAAAAAUAAGAUUUUCCUUUAAAUUUCUCUCUUUUAAUGCUUGCCUUUGCAGAUUAAAGCUAUUCUAGACAGAAAGACAGGAAAGGAAUGAUGGACAGAAGGAGAGGGUGUGAAAAGAAACAGCUCAGUAACGUAAUUCAGUGAGAAUACAGCGUUCCUCUGCACUCAUUUGGGAGACAUUGUGCUGUCAAGGAGAUCCACCAUCUCUGAGCAACUGCAGCUGAUGAGCACGUAUCAAAUUCAGCUUCUGUGUCUUCCCUUCUCUCUCUGCCUCCUUCCUCUUCUCUCUUGAGGAAUCGUUUCGAUGUCUUCUCUGACUUGCUAAAUGAUGAUGGCUAAAUCUCCACACAGCUGCCAUGCCAGAUCCACUGCAGGACCCGGUUGGGGAGUUGGGAAAUCGGAGAUGCAGUUCCAGCAUAAAAAGUGAGAAGGGGUCUGGCCUCCACACCCUGCCGUACCACAAAGCGUCUGUGUCCUUUACACAUUACAGUGGAAAGAAGGUGGGGGCUCGCGGCCAUGAUAUUUCAUUUCUUCUGACCCUUAACGUUUUGGUAGCUCUGUGCUUGAAAGUUGAGCCAGUAAUGAAAUGACAAGCUUCUGUUCAUGCCUACACCAUUGCCAACCUGUGCUCAUAAUGAGUAUGUUUUCUGAAAGAACAUAUAAUAUGGCUUCAGUCCCCAACUCCACACAAGGGGUGCACAAUUGUUAUUUGUGUCGGUAUACAGUUGUAAUCAUGUUGGUAAACGGCUGAUAGUAUGCAGUUAUUUGCUUUGACCAUAUUUAAUAUUUUAAUAAUAAUAAUAAUAAUAAUAAUAAUAAUAAUAUAAAAGUAUGAAUGAACUGGAAUUUUAUAUUAAUAUAAUCAUAAUAUUUACUAUAACAUAUUGAAAAAUUUAUUACAACUUAAAUAUUAC